GAGGAGACAGGAGCUGGGCAUAACACACAGGCGCGACACAUACCAAGAAAAAGACUUCACGUGUUCCUGAAUCAUUAUCCAGGUCUGGCCGAAAUCAUCCGAUUUCCAGAGCUGCAACGACAAAGGUAUGCACAUACAGCCAGCCUGACUCCAGCCUCGACAGCCAGUCCAGCAGCCUGCCCAGGGAAGGUAUCGCUCCUGGCCAGCUCCGUCCCCCCAGGAAGGCAUGAGCGGUGCCCGGCACGCACCCUGCUACGACCGGACUCAACAGCACGGACUGUGCACGUACUCUGCUUGACCAUCCCCAUUCACAUGUUGAGAGAUGGUUGUUUCAUCUCCAAGUUUUGCUUACGCUGCCUGUGUCUACCUGAAGGUGCUGUAAUUAUUUACAAACUUUAGCCAAUAGCUCGGGGCGGGGGGGAAGAGUUUGUUUUCAAGAAGCAAUUUGUUAUGCAAGACCCACAGCUAAACCACACGCCUGCACGAAACGCUGCGGAGCUCAGUCCUGCCUCAGCUGCCAGCGCUCUGUGGCGAGUUACAGCCGCAACAGUCGGGGAGAUGGAUAGAGUCAGGAGCGGCACGGAUGAAGGACCAGCAUAAACGAAGGAAAAGGGAAAGGAAACAUUUAAGGCGGCCAUCCCGCAGGAUGAGAUCUGUCAAAGCCUAAGAGGAGGUUGGGGUUCCUGCCGUGCAGGAGGAGGUCUGCUGCUCUGAAGGGAAUCGAGAAGCCCUGAAUGUUGUUGCAGAAGUCGGUGGUGGUCCAGAGGUACGGGACGAAGGCGUCCACGAAGAUAUACUGGGAAGAGAAGGAGCGACAAGGAAGAAGGAAAGCAGGCGGUCAGCCUCCAGCACAGGAGAGCUGCAGCUCAGCAGCCGCCGACACCUCGCUUGGCACAGAAGCCAUGAAGGCGCCCCGGGACAGCGCCAGGUUGCAUUACUUACGUCGCUGUUUUUGGGACCCAGCAAAGACAGGCUGUCUCUGG